UACGUAGGGUGCAAGCGUUAAUCGGAAUUACUGGGCGUAAAGCGUGCGCAGGCGGUUUUGUAAGACAGAGGUGAAAUCCCCGGGCUCAACCUGGGAACUGCCUUUGUGACUGCAAGGCUGGAGUGCGGCAGAGGGGGAUGGAAUUCCGCGUGUAGCAGUGAAAUGCGUAGAUAUGCGGAGGAACACCGAUGGCGAAGGCAAUCCCCUGGGCCUGCACUGACGCUCAUGCACGAAAGCGUGGGGAGCAAACAGGAUUAGAUACCCUGGUAGUCCACGCCCUAAACGAUGUCAACUGGUUGUUGGGUUUUAAUUAACUCAGUAACGAAGCUAACGCGUGAAGUUGACCGCCUGGGGAGUACGGCCGCAAGGUUGAA
rnacentral:rRNA from 1 species